UACGUAGGUGGCGAGUGUUGUCCGGAGGUAUUGGGUUUAAAGGGUGCGUAGGCGGCUUUGUAAGUCAGUGGUGAAAUACUCUAGCUUAACUAGAGGGGUGCCAUUGAUACUGCGGAGCUUGAGUACAGAUGAGGUAGGCGGAAUUGACGGUGUAGCGGUGAAAUGCAUAGAUAUCGUCAAGAACACCGAUAGCGAAGGCAGCUUACUGGGCUGUAACUGACGCUGAGGCACGAAAGUGUGGGGAUCAAACAGG
rnacentral:rRNA from 1 species